rnacentral:rRNA from 1 species
AUUGAACGCUGGCGGCAGGCCUAACACAUGCAAGUCGAACGAGUGGCGGACGGGUGCGUAAUAUCUGGGAAACUGCCUGAUGGAGGGGGAUAACUCCUGGAAACGGUAGCUCAUACCGCAUACCAUCGGAUGUGCCCAGAUGGGAGUAGCUAGUAGGUGGGGUAAAGGCUCACCUAGGCGACGAUCCCGAGCUGGUCUGAGAGGCUUACCAGCCACACGGGAACUGAGACACGGUCCAGACUCCUACGGGAGGCAGCAGUGGGGAAUAUUGCACAAGGGGCGCAAGCCUGAUGCAGCCAUGCCGCGUGUAUGAAGAAGGCCGUCGGGUUGUAAAGUACUUUCAGCGGUGAGGCGUUACCCGCAGAAGAAGCACCGGCUAACUCCGUGCCAGCAGCCGCUGUAAUAC